rnacentral:rRNA from 1 species
UACGGAGGAUUCGAGCGUUAUCCGGAUUUAUUGGGUUUAAAGGGUGCGUAGGCGGACUGGUAAGUCAGCUGUGAAAGCUUACGGCUCAACCGUGAAAUUGCAGUUGAUACUGCUGGUCUUGAGUAUACAUGAGGUGGGCGGAAUUUGUGGUGUAGCGGUGAAAUGCUUAGAUAUCACAAAGAACUCCAAUUGCGAAGGCAGCUCACUAAACUAUAACUGACGCUGAUGCACGAAGGUGUGGGGAUCAAACAGG